AGUGGGGAAUAUUGGACAAUGGGCGAAAGCCUGAUCCAGCAAUGCCGCGUGAGUGAUGAAGGCCUUAGGGUUGUAAAGCUCUUUUACCCGGGAAGAUAAUGACUGUACCGGGAGAAUAAGCCCCGGCUAACUCCGUGCCAGCAGCCGCGGUAAUACGGAGGGGGCUAGCGUUGUUCGGAAUUACUGGGCGUAAAGCGCGCGUAGGCGGCUUUGUAAGUUAGAGGUGAAAGCCCGGAGCUUAACUCCGGAACUGCCUUUAAGACUGCAUCGCUAGAAUCGUGGAGAGGUGAGUGGAAUUCCGAGUGUAGAGGUGAAAUUCGUAGAUAUUCGGAAGAACACCAGUGGCGAAGGCGACUCACUGGACACGUAUUGACGCUGAGGUGCGAAAGCGUGGGGAGCAAA
rnacentral:rRNA from 1 species